rnacentral:rRNA from 1 species
UACGUAGGGUGCGAGCGUUGUCCGGAUUUAUUGGGCGUAAAGAGCUCGUAGGCGGCUCGUCGCGUCGACCGUGAAAACCCGCGGCUUAACUGCGGGCUUGCGGUUGAUACGGGCGGGCUAGAGUUCGGUAGGGGAGACUGGAAUUCCUGGUGUAGCGGUGAAAUGCGCAGAUAUCAGGAGGAACACCGGUGGCGAAGGCGGGUCUCUGGGCAGUAACUGACGCUGAGGAGCGAAAGCGUGGGGAGCGAACAGG